rnacentral:rRNA from 1 species
AUUGAACGCUGGCGGCAGGCCUAACACAUGCAAGUCGAACGAGUGGAGGACGGGUGAGUAAUGUCUGGGAACCUGCCUGAGGGAGGGGGAUAACUACUGGAACCGGUAGCUAAUACCGCAUACCAUCGGAUGUGCCCAGGUGGGAUUAGGUAGUGGGGGGGGAAAAGGCUCACCUAGGCGACGAUCCCCAGCGGGUCGGAGAGGCUGACCGCCCACACUGGAACUGAGACACGGUCCAGACUCCUACGGGAGGCAGCAGUGGGGAAUAUUGGACAAUGGGCUCAAGCCUGAUGCAGCCAUGCCGCGUGUAUGAAGAAGGCCUUCGGGUUGUAAAGUACUUUCAGCGGGGAGGCGUUACUCACAGAGAAAGCACCGGCUAACUCCGUGCCAGCAGCCGCGGUAAUUC